rnacentral:rRNA from 1 species
GUUGACGGGGCCCGGCACAAGCGGUGGAGCAUGUGGUUUAAUUCGAUGCAACGCGAAGAACCUUACCAGCCCUUGACAUCCUCGGAAUCCUGCAGAGAUGCGGGAGUGCCUUCGGGAGCCGAGAGACAGGUGCUGCAUGGCUGUCGUCAGCUCGUGUCGUGGGAUGUUGGGUUAAGUCCCGUAACGAGCGCAACCCUUGCCCUUAGUUGCCAGCGCGUCAAGGCGGGAACUCUAAGGGGACUGCCGGUGAUAAACCGGAGGAAGGUGGGGGAUGACGUCAAGUCAUCAUGGCCCUUAUGGGCUGGGCUACACACGUGCUACAAUGGCCGGUACAGAGGGUUGCCAACCCGCGAGGGGGAGCCAAUCUCAGAAAACCGGUCGUAGUCCGGAUCGCAGUCUGCAACUCGACUGCGUGAAGUCGGAACCGCUAGUAAUCGCGAAUCAGCAUGUCGCGGUGAAUACGUUCCCGGGCCUU